rnacentral:rRNA from 1 species
UACGAAGGGGGCUAGCGUUGUUCGGAAUUACUGGGCGUAAAGCGCGCGUAGGCGGCCACUUAAGUCGGAUGUGAAAGCCCCUGGCUCAACUGGGGAAGUGCACCCGAAACUGAAUGGCUUGAGUGCGAAAGAGGGUCGCGGAAUUCCCGGUGUAGAGGUGAAAUUCGUAGAUAUCGGGAGGAACACCAGUGGCGAAGGCGGCGAUCUGGGCUGAUACUGACGCUGAGGUGCGAAAGCGUGGGGAGCAAACAGG